AGUCUGGGAAGUUUCGGGUGGGCGGGGCUUGCGGGCCGCCUGGAAAAGCUUUGGGAGUAGCUUUUUUUUCCUUUUUUUUUUUUUUUCUUUUUUUUUUUCCCCUCUGUCACAAAAAGGCGGCGGGUGUGCAGCGCAGAUACGGCUGCGGCCUGCCUUUAUGGUGCGCCCAGACUUUGCUUUUCUGAACCGGGAGAUGCGCCUUUGCAGCUCCCUUCAGGCAGGACCAGCGCAGGUGGUUGGCGGCCUCGCUGCUGCUCGUCUUCCCGGAAGCGAUCUUGUGAAGAAGACAGGUGACAAAAGGGACUGUCACCAUUUUGCAGGUCUUUGGGGAUAGCUGGUGUGAGCCUGUCCUCCCCCCAUGCAGCCAAUUCCGGGGUUUCUGGAGCAGCAAAACAGAACCCUGAUCUUUCAACGUGAUGAGUGUGCCAAGGCCCAUUGCCCAUUCUGAACUUCCUGCCUGGUAGCCAGCCAGUCUUCCUGGACCACAGCCCACUGAUUUCCCUUUGUGACAGUGGACAUGGCAGCUGGAAGAGGCCAGGUGGCACUUUCAACAUGAUGCCUGGAAAUUUCCUCGGCCAGAUCACACAGUUCAUUGGUUCCAAUAAUAUUUUCCUCGCGUUUCUUCAAGUCUUUGCUGACAGACUUUUCAAGGCUGGUGCCCAAAGCCAGUGCACAUGUUUUAGGUUUUUAUUACAGCAGCAGCCACCCGAGUUCCAAAAUCUGUAUCAAUUAAAGUUUGAUUGGAGAAGCAAAACCACUUUGAAUGAAACAAGGAGUUUAUUGUAGGGAUUAGAAUGUACAUGAUUAUGGGAGCUGGUUAAGCAGUCUGUGCAAUCUGUUGUCCCUGCCUCAAGACGUGGGUCUGAAGUCAGUAGGCGAGGCUUGCUUCAGGAGGGGAGGAUGGAUCCCAAGUGGAGCUGUGAGGAGAGGAGACACACUGGAACCUGCGCGGAUGAGAUGGGACCUCUAUGUCCCACACUGCUCUGUGAUGCCUCCUGUCCUCCUGACGUCCAUGGCGAAGCAGACCUGCAGGACAGCUGGUGCACUUCAUCACGGAGUUAUUCACAAACCUAAGCAGGAUUCAGGGAUGCUGGAGAAGCAGGGAGCCCGCAGAUGCAUGGCGUUGUGUGCGAGCUGCCACAGUGCAGGCCUUCACCGACCUUGGGCCACAACCAUGGCCGCCACGUCACUUCCGCCUUCCAAAGGUUGCUCCCAUUCUUGGGGAAAUAUAGUUCCAGCUUAGCUAUAUUGACAUGGUACAAAGCCACCACAGUCCCGGUGGCCCCAGCUGGGGAUUAAGAGUACAGCCCGAGAAUGCACAGUGUUUGUGUGUAAUGUCCACUCGAGCAUUUGUGUGAAUCUGGUGCCAAGAACUCACACAAAGGUAGGGAAAGCUAGUGCUUACAAAUCAGUGCUACUAGGUAACCAACACAUAAAAAGGACUCAGUGCCUACAAUAAAUUUUAAUAAAAUAGUAUUGAAAUGAUUAUGGAUGCUAUUCCAGCAUAUUCCAAACUGAUCAUUAAGAUAUUAAUAGGUCUUCUGCAUUAGUUUGCUAGGGCUACCACAACAAAGUACCACAGACUCAGUGGCUUCAACAACAGAAAUGUAUUUUCUCACAGCUCUGGAAGCUCGAAGCCUGAGACCAAGGUGUUGGCGAGGUUGGUUUCUUCUGAGGCCUCUCUCCUUGGCUUGUAACCACUUUCUUGCUGUGUGUUCAAAUGAUCAUGUCUCUGGUCCUGCACCUGUUUGGUAUCUCUGUCUCCCUCCGGAUGUCCUCUUUUUAUAAAGACACCAGUUGUUGUAUUAGGGCCCGCUCUGAUGACUCACCUUGAACUUAAUUACUUCUCUAAAGGCCCUAUCUCCAAGUACAGUCACAUGUCACAUUCUGAGGCACUGGAGGUUCAGGUUUCAACCUAUGAAUUAGGAAGCCCAUAACAUUUUCUAUUAGUACAAUAAAGUUUGAUAAACGCUACAUGCUAUAUUUUCUCGGAAAUUCACGAAGUACGUUCGUAAUGAAAGAUUACGCAAAGCCCAAUAUCUAUCUUUUACACACCCCAUUGUUUUAUACGUUAUUGGUAAUCCUAAAUUGUCUUUCAUCUUCUAUGCAUUGACUAGUGAUAUUGAGCUUCUGCAUGGUGAUCUUAACUGCUGGCCAGUGCCGGUGGUAAGGAAGGGAAGGUGGACGUGAGACGGAGGAGAGGACGCGCAAACUGGACCCCAGGUCUACGGAGUUGGUCUGGUACUACCUUGAAGUCUUUAUAGAUGCUCAUCAGACCACAGACGCUUCAGUCUUCAGUGAAGUGAAGACCGUCACUGGUAUGAUGGCACCUGAGGAAGCAGAUGGUUCUGUCCAUUCUCAUCCACUCUCUCGUGAGUGAUCUCCUAGACCCCAGAGAAGACUUGUCAGCUUCUGGUGCAAGUUGCUUUAUGUGCUUAUCUCUACCAACAACAACCCCAAGAGAUAGAGCAUAUUGUCCCAAUUUCACAAAUGAGAAAACUGGCUCCCAGAGAGCAGCUUCACAUGGCUUAGAACGCUCCUGAAUGUUCACUUGGAUCCGCAUCUCCUGACCCCAGGGACAGGGCCCUCACACAGGCUGUAGCAGACGUACAGGGUGAUGCUAAAACCAGCUCAUGGCUGGGCACUGUCCCCACUGUCUAUGGAUUUAUUGCAUUUUCCUCUCUAUUCCAAUUCACACUUUCUCUGGGUAGCCUCUGUCAGGAAUGCUCCGUGUGGGAUUCGGUCCACUCGGUUACCCUGAAACACUGCCUGGGGCAAGCUCCGUCCACCUCAUUGCUUUGAGAAAUAUAUUGUUUUUAAAUGAAAACUGCCACAUAAAUGUGAGAGGAGGUACCACGUGUUUCUCUCCCCACUUGACCUUGAUCUGUUAUCUCUGUGGCUUUCUUUUUUAGAAUCUCCCAUCCUCAUCUCUCCUUAGACAGGCUGCCCCUGCAUCUUACUGAAGGAAUCUGAAAGAGGAUUAGGCAAGUUGGUAUUUACAGAAGAGGAAGCUUGCUCAGAGUGCGCCAGCGACUUGCGUGGUCCUGCAGCUGCUAUGGAGAGAGGAGGUCUCCUGAUGGAAGAUCCGUGCACUUUGACUACACCACAACCUCAGUGCGUUUACCUUUUAUCCAGAGGGCUAUGUCUUCUGUGCGCCAGUGUGCUGUAAUGAUAGAAAUCUCAUCCUUCUUUGCAUUCCCACAUCCAUAAAUGACACCAAGAACUCUGGCCUGUGCACCUGCAUUGUUGGCUAUAACGGGAUGGAGAUGUGACUGAAAUGGCUCGAGAAGAGUCUGAAGCCUCCUGUGUUCUGUCAAGUCUGGGGGAUGGGACACACAAUCUCUCCUCCAGCAUCUUAGAACCCCGGGUGGGUCAGGCAAGGGACAUCCAUUCAUGCAACUGCAGAGGGAAUCACCAGGUCCGUGGAGUGGAGAGCCCCCCCCCCCCCUCCAAAAAGCUUCUGUUCCCUUGCUGCUGCCAGACAGGAAAGGAAGACUCUGAAACCCAAUCUCUCUAUCCAGGGAUCGGAGACUGACCCUUUCAUAGGUGAGAGAUACAAUCUAACAGUACGUGACUUUCUGCUGGUUUUGCCCAUGAGACCUUAUGAGAACACAGCAGCCACACAGAGAGCUGGAGAACAUUCCAGGAGGCGAGCACAGAGAAUAGAAAGCCCUGAGGCACAAAUGAACAGAGAGAGUCUUAGAAACAGAAAGACCAGUGUGAUGCUUUUUGGGUCUCGCAAACUUUUCUCGCCAAGGACCACCUAGUAAAUAUCUUAAGCCUUUGUGAGCUGCUCAGUCUUUGCUGCAGCUACUUAGCUCUCUGUGGCACAAAAGCCACCCUGGAUAAUAAUACAUAUGCGAGUGAGCAUGGCUGCGUUCCAAUAAAACUUUAUUUAUGGACCUUGAUAUUUGAAUUGC